AGUGGGGAAUAUUGCACAAUGGGCGGAAGCCUGAUGCAGCGACGCCGCGUGAGGGAUGACGGCCUUCGGGUUGUAAACCUCUUUCAGCAGGGAAGAAGCGCAAGUGACGGUACCUGCAGAAGAAGCACCGGCUAACUACGUGCCAGCAGCCGCGGUAAUACGUAGGGUGCGAGCGUUGUCCGGAAUUAUUGGGCGUAAAGAGCUUGUAGGUGGUUUGUCGCGUCUGCUGUGAAAAUCCGGGGCUCAACCCCGGACUUGCAGUGGGUACGGGCAGACUGGAGUGUGGUAGGGGAGACUGGAAUUCCUGGUGUAGCGGUGGAAUGCGCAGAUAUCAGGAGGAACACCGAUGGCGAAGGCAGGUCUCUGGGCCAUUACUGACACUGAGAAGCGAAAGCAUGGGGAGCGAA
rnacentral:rRNA from 1 species